UGCAGCAGCCGCGGUAAUCCAGCUCCAAUAGCGUAUAUUAAAGUUGUUGCAGUUAAAAAGCUCGUAGUUGAACUUCAGACCUGGCUGGGCGGUCUGCCUAACGGUAUGUACUGUCCGGCUGGGUCUUACCUCUUGGUGAGCCGGCAUGCCCUUCACUGGGUGUGUCGGGGAACCAGGACUUUACCUUGAGAAAAUUAGAGUGUUCAAAGCAGGCUUAUGCCCGAAUACAUUAGCAUGGAAUAAUAAAAUAGGACGUGCGGUUCUAUUUUGUUGGUUUCUAGAGUCGCCGUAAUGAUUAAUAGGGAUAGUUGGGGGCAUUAGUAUUCCGUUGCUAGAGGUGAAAUUCUUGGAUUUACGGAAGACUAACUAUUGCGAAAGCAUUUGCCAAGGAUGUUUUCAUUAAUCAAGAACGAAGGUUAGGGGAUCGAAAACGAUCAGAUACCGUUGUAGUCUUAACAGUAAACUAUGCCGACUAGGGAUCGGGCGAACUCAAUUUGAUGUGUCGCUCGG
rnacentral:rRNA from 1 species